GACGGAGGAUGCAAGCGUUAUCCGGAAUGAUUGGGCGUAAAGCGUCCGCAGGUGGCAAAUCAAGUCUGCUGUUAAAGCGCAGGGCUUAACUCUGUAAAGGCAGUGGAAACUGAUUAGCUAGAGUGUGGUAGGGGCAGAGGGAAUUCCCAGUGUAGCGGUGAAAUGCGCAGAUAUCGGGAAGAACACCCGUGGCGAAGGCGGCACUCUGGGACGGUACUGACGCUGAGACGCGAAAGCGUGGGGAGCGAACAGG
rnacentral:rRNA from 1 species